UACGGAGGGGGCUAGCGUUGUUCGGAAUUACUGGGGCGUAAAGCGCACGUAGGCGGAUCAGCCAGUCAGGGGUGAAAUCCCGGGGCUCAACCCCGGAACUGCCCUUGAUACUGCUGGUCUGGAGUUCGAGAGAGGCGAGUGGAAUUCCGAGUGUAGAGGUGAAAUUCGUAGAUAUUCGGAGGAACACCAGUGGCGAAGGCGGCUCGCUGGCUCGACACUGACGCUGAGGUGCGAAAGCGUGGGGAGCAAACAGGAUUAGAUACCCCCGUAGUCCCU
rnacentral:rRNA from 1 species